AUUGGUGAUUUUAUUUGAUACCUUCAAUGAGCACUUACAACUUCUUGCUUUUGUAUGUAUAAUUAUAACACUGUCAGUGGCAAAGCUAUGCAAUAGCAGACUGAUCUCAGCCGACCCCCACUGGAGCGGCGGAGAACAGUCUGCGAUCAAUCAACACUAAUGCUGUACAGUACAUAAGCAGUAUUUUGCGUAAUUAAUUUAAAAUUAUUCAAAAAAUGUCAAGUCUAAGAUGGCGGACGCAGAGCAAUUAUGAAUUAUUAUACAUAGCAAUGUAAUUUAUGCAAUUUUCGGCAUAAUCACAAAGGAAAAUUUCAACCAAUCGUAUUCCGCCCCACGUUGUGCGGGGGCGACUGUACAGCAUUAGCGUUGAUUGAUUGCAGACUGUUGAUCCACAGGGGG